rnacentral:miRNA from 1 species
AGAACUGGGGAAACUUCCAGCCU